rnacentral:lncRNA from 1 species
GGAGAUAUGGGAAUUUCAGAAAAUAUACAACCUUAUUUAUUUGUAUUAUACAAUCAUACAUACUACUUGUUAUAAAAUGCAAAUUACAUAGAAAUGUUUAAAACAUUGCAAAAAGGAAAAUGCCUUCAUCAAAAACUUUUUUUUAUCCUAUCCUAACCCUUUCCCGAAGGCUAAGUACAUUGUUAAAAGUUCACUAUGCAUUUGUAAGGGCGUGCAUAUUUGUAUAUACGUGUAUGUACAUUUACAUAGUCACAUGAGAAACUUGCAUAUUAGAAUCAAUGGGUUUGUGACUAAUAUAAAUAUUAAGAAAUAUUAAAACAACACACACUAUUUUUUCAAACUUUAUUAGCCCUGUUAAGAGUAUGUCAGGUUGCAAUAAGAAAUUAAUUCCCAAAUUUGAAUAGAUUAAUAAAACAGAUUUAUUUCUCACUUAGGUAAUAGUAUAAUGCAAGUGAGUCAGGAACUCUAUUACAUAAAUAAAGUCAUUCAGCACCUCCGACUGACAAAGAUUCCACUUUUUGUAGUUGUAUCACUUAAAACAUGUAGCCUCUUUUCUAGGCUUCAGCCAGGAAGUAGCACGCUUUACUUCCCUUUACAGCACACAUUGGGCAGAACUGGUCAUAUUUUCUUGCCUUACUACAAUGGUACAGAGAUAUGUUGGAAAGCACAUUUGUAGUCACCAAGCAGUAAACAACUCUCACAUGCUGACUCACAAGCACAUCAUACUACUUGUCACGUGUGUCCGUGUGAAGAGACCACCAAACAGGCUUUGUGUGAGCAAUAAACUGUUUUAAUCACCCGGGUGCAGGCGGUCUGAGUCCGAAAAGAGUGUUAGAGAAGGGAUAUAGGGCUGGGGCUGUUUUAUAGGAUUUGGGUGGGUAGUAGAAAAUUACAGUCAAAGGGGGUUGUUCUCUAAUGGGGAGGGGCAGGGGUCACAAGGUGCUCAGUUGGGGAGCUUCUGAGCCAAGAGAAGGAAUUUCACAAGGUUAAUUGCUCAGUUAAGGUGGGGCAGAAACAAAUCACAGUGGUGGAAUGUCAUCAGUUAGGGCAGAAACUAGCCAUUUUCACUUCUUUUGUGAUUCUUCACUUGCUUCAGGCCAUCUGGAUGUAUACGUGCAGGUUUUGCAGUGAGUAAGUUGAGGCCUCGGUGAUUUUGGAGGAAGAGAAAUGCAAAGCCAGCAAUUGUUUGUUAAAGAAGGAUUAGAAACAGCUAGGAGAGACUGAGAGAGAUUGAUAGUGUGGUGGAGAUAGCUGGGGAGAAGUAGAGGGUGGCAUAA